AACGAACGCUGGCGGCAUGCCUAACACAUGCGAGUCGAACGAGACCUUCGGGUCUAGUGGCGCACGGGUGCGUAACGCGUGGGAACCUGCCCCUAGGUGCGGAAUAACUCGCCGAAAGGGGUGCUAAUACCGGAUAAUAUCUUCGGACAAAAGAUUUAUCGCCUUUGGAUGGGCCCGGGUGGGAUUAGCUAGUUGGUAGGGGAAAAGCCUACCAAGGCGACGAUCGUUAGCUGGGCUGAGAGGAUGAGCAGCGACACUGGGACUGAGACACGGCCCAGACUCCUACGGGAGGCAGCAGUGGGGAAUACAGGACUAUGGGCGGAAGCCUGAUCCAGCAAUGCCGCGUGAGUGAUGAAGGCCUGAGGGUUGUAAAGCUCGUUUACCCGGGAUGAUAAUGACAGUACCGGAAGAAUAAGCACCGGCUAACUCCGUG
rnacentral:rRNA from 1 species